rnacentral:rRNA from 1 species
GCUUACGGCCACACCACCCUGAGCGCGCCCGAUCUCGUCUGAUCUCGGAAGCUAAGCAGGGUCGGGCCUGGUUAGUACUUGGAUGGGAGACCGCCUGGGAAUACCAGUGCCGUAAGCU